rnacentral:rRNA from 1 species
AACGAACGCUGGCGGCAUGCCUAACACAUGCAAGUCGAACGAGACCUUCGGGUCUAGUGGCGCACGGGUGCGUAACACGUGGGAAUCUGCCCUUUGCUUCGGAAUAACAGUUAGAAAUGACUGCUAAUAUCGGAUGAUGUCGAAAGACCAAAGAUUUAUCGGCAAAGGAUGAGCCCGCGUAGGAUUAGGUAGUUGGUGGGGUAAAGGCCUACCAAGCCGACGAUCCUUAGCUGGUCUGAGAGGAUGAUCAGCCACACUGGGACUGAGACACGGCCCAGUCUCCUACGGGAGGCAGCAGUGGGGAAUAUUGGACAGUGGGCGAAAGCCUGAUCCAGCAAUGCCGCGUGAGUGAUGAAGGCCUUAGGGUUGUAAAGCUCUUUUACCAGGGAUGAUAAUGACAGUACCUGGAGAAUAAGCUCCGGCUAACUCCGUGCCAGCAGCCGCAGUAAGAC